UGGGGAAUUUUGGACAAUGGGCGCAAGCCUGAUCCAGCCAUGCCGCGUGAGUGAAGAAGGCCUUCGGGUUGUAAAGCUCUUUCGGCCGGGAAGAAAUCGUGUUCUCUAACAUAGGACAUGGAUGACGGUACCGGACUAAGAAGCACCGGCUAACUACGUGCCAGCAGCCGCGGUAAUACGUAGGGUGCGAGCGUUAAUCGGAAUUACUGGGCGUAAAGCGUGCGCAGGCGGUUUUGUAAGACAGAUGUGAAAUCCCCGGGCUUAACCUGGGAACUGCGUUUGUGACUGCAAGGCUAGAGUACGGCAGAGGGGGGUGGAAUUCCUGGUGUAGCAGUGAAAUGCGUAGAUAUCAGGAGGAACACCGAUGGCGAAGGCAGCCCCCUGGGCCUGUACUGACGCUCAUGCACGAAAGCGUGGGGAGCAAACAGGAUUAGAUACCCUGGUAGUCCACGCCCUAAACGAUGUCGACUAGUCGUUCGGAGCAGCAAUGCACUGAGUGACGCAGCUAACGCGUGAAGUCGACCGCCUG
rnacentral:rRNA from 1 species